CAGAAAAUGCAUAUAAUAACAAGAUGGCGCCCGGGACAUUUUGUACCUGAAGGAGAAAGGGAAGGGAACAAAUGGUGGCUUGAGCUUUCAGUAUAUAAUCACUUUGCCUGAAAGACAGUAACUUUAUGUCAUUUAAAACACCUAUGUGUUUAAUAAGACGUCAGGAGCGAUGUGGCUGCACAGCUCUCAAUGUUCAGCUAGGGUUGCCACCUGGGUAUAGGCCUUGCUAGUGUAAGCCAGUCCAGUCAAACAGAGGAGGAAGGCUUUACAGGACAAACAGCACUCAAGACCAUGAAGCCGAAAAAUUGGGGGUACUAACACUGAGGACUGAACCGUCCCUCUACUUUGACCCCUCUACUGCGUUGUAAGGACACGGUGGAAGAGCAGAUCCAGAGAACACAACUAACAGCCUCUCCCAGUCCUAGUGGGGGCAGGAAAACACAGGACACUCCAGGGAUGGAUAUAAAAUACACAAAGAGGAGAUGGCUUUAAAUGAAAUCCAAGUGAUGAACCAGUUGGAUCACCCUUAUAUCAUCCAGAUGUUUGAUGAGGUGGAGAUGCCCAAUGAGAUCUUUUUCAUUCUAGAAUAAGGAUGGUGAUGCCCAGAAAAUGGCACCUCCAACAGGCGGCAUCCCUGAACUGCAGCCCGCAGCGGCAAAACCUACUGACCAAGUGACCAACGCAGAAAAUAUUCCCCCGGACCAGAAACCGCUUUCAGAGACUUGUGUAAAUGCUGGUCUGCCAGGCGGAUGUCUAAGAAACAUCGGCAGAAGAUCCUCAUAAUGCAUCUGGAAAAAGAG